GCCUGGAUAGCUCAGUCGGUAGAGCAUGAGACUCUUAAUGUCAGGGUCGUGGGUUCGAGCCCCUCGUUCGGCG
rfam:Danio rerio chromosome 4, GRCz11 reference primary assembly.